rnacentral:lncRNA from 1 species
AUCGGAUAAGGAACUCAUCAUGUAAAUAUUAUAAAAUAAUUAUAAUUUUGAUAGGAGAGGUUUAGAUUAAGGUUAUAUUAGCUUGGAUUGGGGGUAGGGCAUACUAUUAUUCAUUCUCGAUCCAAACCUGCUUAGAUAUUUCAUCUAGAACUCAAUCACACCACAGUUACAUGAUCUGAUCACACACCUUCUAGAGCAAAAUCUAAAGAAUAUGCAAGGUCUU